rnacentral:lncRNA from 1 species
CCCAACACGAAUCCUCCGAGGCACGCAUCGACGUGGACACCGAUGUUGUAUCUUUUACCAAGCUGCAAAGAAAGUCACAACAGUCAGGGAACUUUGAUAAGUUUCAUCCGAAAGUACUCGGCAGCCUUAGAAACAGAAAACAUCAUGAACAAAAUAUCAAUGAAGGGUAUUAACGCACUGAUGAUUUGCACAAACCUUCUCAAAAGCUGCAUGAGCUGAUUCGGAAACAACUCUAAAGAGAACCGUGAAGUUUGGUAAUUCCUUUAACGUCUCUGCCCCAAUCUCUAUAUGAUUUACACGCCAUAAGAAUGCUAUUCGUGCCAGAUGCAGUCAUCUAAAGUGGAAGAAGAUUGGACGAAGUCAGUAGAGUGAACAUACCUUCUCCUCUAAAAAUGGCAGUUUUCGGAAAAUCUUGAAGAAGGUCUUUUUAGAUCUAAACACGAUGCCUAAAUGGUACAGUGAUAUGGUAGUUGAAAACAACGUGUUCAGACAGUGGAAAACCUACUUGCCAAGCCUCCAAUCCUCUGCACAUUCGCCUCACUUUCCUCUCCAAUAACAGUUGCAAAUAGACCGCUCUGAGCUGGAUGAAAGAAUACAUUAUUACCAAGGCUAUUUUGGUGCUCUAGCUGCCAUUUAUCAAGUCAUAUUUUGGAAAAGAGUUGACGUCGUUUUUUCUGUGUUUUUAUCAACGAGAUAACCGUUGUAGAAAUCUCUGGCGGUGAUGGACUUUCUGUGUUGCAUUUUCAACGAUUUCCAGCCGACCCAGCCAUCCUGCAGGAAAAAAGCAAAUGAUAUGGCUUGUGUCUAGGUGUUCUUGUCUUUUACGGGUUCAGCUGGUAACAAAACAAGCCUUAUGCAGACUUUUGCAAGUUGUCUGAGCGAGAAUUUACUGCUUUCACACCUUGCACUUUAUAAAAAGAAGAUUUUCAUCGCAGUCGUAAUACGGUUGGCCAACAACUGCAUCUUCUGGAGGACCUAAAGGAGCAAAAUGAGAUGGAUAUCCCCUUUCGGGACCGCAGUCAUAUGCUAUGUAUAUUUAAGAAAAAUACAAGAAGCAGGUAGUAUAUUUAAAACUUUCUUGGGACACGUCAACAAAAUACAAAAUCUGAAUUUUCUUGAUACCUCACCUGGUAGUGAAGUGCUACAUAUAUCAAGUUUUCCCAAUGUGACAAUUUGAUUGUUCCACUUACAUUUGAGACCGAACUAUUGAAAGCGGAUUAGACUUGUAUGAAUCAGACAAAUUAAUUGUAUGUUAUCGUCAAAGUCUGAUAUUCGAAGCUCGUUUUGUCAGGUUGAAGGUUGUUUUGUCAAAACAAGUUUCAUACCAACCCUCUGUCGAGUCGCACAGGACAAUCGCUGAAUAUAUCCACAAGUGAAUUCGCCCCAUUUGAUGUAGCUCGUUUCUUUCAAUAGUUUAGGAGCUAAAUACCCAAAGACGUUUGAACAACGUGUGCAAGGAAUUUGCUGAAAAUAUCAAUUUAGGGAUCUAGUAGCAGCAUACCUUCUGUAACCUCUCUUUCAUCCUGGGCGAUGGCAGAUGUUCGUAAUUCGUUGAAAUUUGCCAGGACAUCAACGAGCUAAAAUUUGGAGAUGAGAUUUCCGUUUACGA